CCUACGGGAGGCAGCAGUGGGGAAUAUUGGACAAUGGGCGAAAGCCUGAUCCAGCCAUGCCGCGUGUGUGAAGAAGGCCUUCGGGUUGUAAAGCACUUUCAGUGGGGAAGAAAGCCUUGGGGCUAAUACCCUCGAGGAAGGACAUCACCCACAGAAGAAGCACCGGCUAACUCCGUGCCAGCAGCCGCGUAAUACGGAGGGUGCGAGCGUUAAUCGGAAUUACUGGGCGUAAAGCGCGGUAGGCGGUCUGAUAAGCCGGGUGUGAAAGCCCCGGGCUCAACCUGGGAACGGCAUCCGGAACUGUCAGGCUAGAGUGCAGGAGAGGAAGGUAGAAUUCCCGGUGUAGCGGUGAAAUGCGUAGAGAUCGGGAGGAAUACCAGUGGCGAAGGCGGCCUUCUGGACUGACACUGACGCUGAGGUGCGAAAGCGUGGGUAGCAAACAGGAUUAGAUACCCUGGUAGUC
rnacentral:rRNA from 1 species